rnacentral:rRNA from 1 species
GACGAACCGUGCGAACGUUGUUCGGAAUCACUGGGCUUAAAGGGCGCGUAGGCGGCUCUUCUUGUCCGGGGUGAAAUCUUCCGGCUUAACCGGAAGCGGUCCUCGGAAACGGAAGGGCUGGAGGGAGGUAGGGGCGGGCGGAACUUCCGGUGGAGCGGUGAAAUGCGUAGAGAUCGGAAGGAACGCCGGUGGCGAAAGCGGCCCGCUGGACCUUCACUGACGCUGAGGCGCGAAAGCCAGGGGAGCAAACGGGAUUAGAUACCCCGGUAGUCCUGGCCCUAAACGAUGGGUACUAGGUAGGGGACUAGACAUGGGUUCCCUGCCGCAGCCAAAGUGUUAAGUACCCCGCCUGGGGAGUAUGGUCGCAAGGCUGAA